rnacentral:lncRNA from 1 species
GACCCAUAUGUUCAUUGCAGCACUGUUUACAAUAACCAAGACAUGGAAACAACCUAAAUGUCCAUCAAAAGAUGAUUGGAUUAAGAAGAUGUGGUAUAUAUAGGCAAUGGAAUACUACUCAGCCAUAAAAAGGAACGAAAUAAUGCCAUUUGCAGCAACAUGGAUGGAACUAGAGAUUCUCAUACUAAGAGAAGUAAGAAAAAGAAAGACAAAUACCAUGUGAUAUCUCUUCUUUGCUGAAUCUAAUAUAUACACAAAUGAACCUAUUUACAGAAUAGAAACAAACUCAUGGAUAUAGAGAACAGACUUAUGAUUUCCAAGGGGGAGAGGGAGAGAAUGGGAUGGACUGGGAUGCUGGGGUUUGUAGAGGCAAACUACUGCAUUUGGAGUUGAAUAAGCAAUGAGGUCUUGCUGUAUAGCACAGGGAACUAUGUCCAAUCACUUGUGAUGGAAUACGAUGGAAGAUAAUACAAGAAAAAGAAUGUAUGUAUAAAAGAAUGUAUAUGUAUAACAUAUGUAUAACUGAGUCACUUUGCUAUGCAGCAGAAAUUGACAGAACAUUGUAAAUAAACUAUGGUAAAAACAAGUUUUUGAAAGUCACUCGAGAAGCUAGAUAAAAUGAAUGGUUCUACAUCUAUUACUGAAGUGUUCAUUUAGUUAAAAUUCUUCCCUCAAAGUAAACACAAGCCCAAUGACUCCACUGGAAAAUUCUAAUAUAUAUAUCAUAUAAUGUAUACAAAUAUAAUAUAAAUUAUAUGUUUCUAACAUAUACAUAUACAUUUAUAUAUAAUACUAAUUCUAUAAAAGUUUUCUAGGAGAAAAUUUUUAGUUAAAAAUCUAUCCACAGAUAUUCAUAGCAGCUUUAUUUUUAAUAGCCCUAACCCAAAAACAACCCAAAUGUCUAUAGAGAAACAAAUUAUGUUAUAUGCAUAAAAUGGAAUAUUAUUCAGUAAUUUAAAUAUAUACAGAUACUGACAGAUGAAACGAUGUGGAUGAACCUCAAAAUAAUAAUGCUAGGUGAAAGAAUCCAUACAAAAGGAAUUUAUAUAUAUACAAUUUUAGAGAAUGGAAACUAAUCUCAAUAGCUGCCUAGGAAUGCAGGAUGGGAAAACCAGGAAGGGGAGAGAAUAAUGGAAUGACAAUGGGGGCAUGAGGAAACUGGGGGCAGUAGUUACAUUCAUUAUAUAUACUCAUGGCCAUGAUGGCUCCAUAUAUACACAGAUGGCUAGCUAGGUAAUUACACACACAUAUAUGUCAAAACAUCAAAUUUUGUACUUUAUUAUAUGUUUACUAUAAUACAGCUGUGAAAUAACUUUAAAUCAAAUAAUCCUUUGCUAAGACAAUUUCAAUGUUAAGUCAUAACAUAUUAUGUAUCAUAUUUUAUAAACUAUAUAUAAAUAUGUCAAUGUAUAAUAUAUAUACUAUAUCAACAAAAUAUACAAAAAUGUAUAUUAAGGGUAUGCAAAUUAUUUUUAAAUGAUGAAAAAAUUGAAAAAAUGAAGUAAUGAACCACCUAUUGAAAAAUUAUCUGAAAAAUUUUCAUAAAAGCAAUUCUUUGUAAACUCAAUACAUAUUUCAGUAUUAUCUGAAAAUAUUAAAAGUUAACCCCUAAAUGGCAUCUAAUUUUUUUGGAUACUUUCCAGAAAAUCUACACUCUUUACCAUAUCAUUCACUAAGAAUAUCUAACCAGUUUCAAAGAUUCCUUCUUCAGAGUAUUUUUAGAGCCUAAGAGGUGGAGGAAGGGAAGUGCAUUGGUCUCAAAGGACAAAUUACAACCCACUGCUUUACUAGCUUCAUGAAAAAUCCAUUUCUAGUUGAGAUAGUUGUUUACCAUAGGAGUAUCUGCAAUAAUGCCAAUACAUAAUAAAUAUUCACUACAUACUUGUAGAAUGAAUAAAUUUGUUUAGUUAAUGGUAGUGGCAUAUCCAGAAUAGAAAACAAAAAGAGAAGACCUUUUAGAGGGAAAAUUAUGAGUUUAGUUUGAAUCUAUUGGAUUUCUGUUAUCUGUAAGAAACCAGGUUAAUGUACCUGCCACAUAUCUGGAAAUGUGGAUCUAAAGAUGAAUCUCUAAGAUAGAAUUUUGAACAUAUUAAACACAGAGGUAGUGAUUAAAGCUGCUUCAGAGGAUGUUGUCUCCAAGGCAGGAAGGGUACAAAGCCCAAAGCACACAAAAGAAGAAAAGUCAAUGUUGGAGACAAAUCAUGGAGGUCAGAAAAAUACUUUACAAAUGUUCAGAGAUGAAAUUUUUAUCUUUUUUUUUUUUUUUUUUUUUUUUUGGCGUGUGGUCACACCCACGGUAUAUAGAAGUUCCCAGGCUAGGGACUGAAUCUGAGCUGAAGCUGUUGGCCUAUGCCAUAGCCACAGCAAUGCCAGAUCUGAGCCACAUCAGCAACUUACACCCCAGCUCGUGGAAGCAGUGGAUCCUUACCCACUGGGCUGGGUCAGGGAUCAAACCCACAUCCUCAUGGAUACUAGCCACCCACACCAUCAGGGAUACUAGUCAGGUUUGAUACUGCUGAGACUCAAUGGGAACUCCAAUAUUUUUUAAUUAAGGAAAUUAAUAUCCCAAAGAAGGAUGAAUAAGGAAAAAGAACUAAAUUGCAUCCAAUCCAAUAUUAAAUCAAAUCAAAUCAAACUGAUACUUACCUUAGGUCUAUAAUAUGUAAAUCAUGUGAAUAGCUGAGUUUUCAGUUACUUUUAAUGGGUACUUAUUCAUAGUUGAAAGAAUAAAAUUAGGCUUCCUUCCGCAGUUCAAAAGCAUCCAGAUUUUAGUGACCUGGCCAUAAUUUGCAGUAAGUAAUAAGGCUUGAAUAAAUGUUAUUCUAUUUACUGUGUGUCAGAGGAUUAAUUAAUCAGUAAAUAAAAAUAAAUGUUCUUUUUCUUUUUUUUUUUUUUUUUGUCUUUUUGCUAUUUCUUUGGGCCGCUCCCGCAGCAUAUGGAGGUUCCCAGGUUAGGGGUCGAAUCAGAGUUGUAGCCGCCAGCCUACGCCAGAGCCACAGCAACGCAGGGUCCGAGCCGCGUCUGAGACCUACACCACAGCUCACGGCAACGCCGGAUCGUUAACCCACUGAGCAAGGGCAGGGACUGAACCCGCAACCUCAUGGUUCCCAGUCGGAUUCGUUAUCCACUGCGCCACGACAGGAAUUCCAAAAUAAAUGUAUUUAAAUUGUUGUAUGGACGACUACAAAAUUGGACAUCAUAUAAUGAAAUGUUAUUUACUACUUUUGGGAAUCUGAGUUUGUGUUAGAAAUGGUGUACUUUUCAACACAACUUCCCUUCAAUGACUUGUAUCAUUUGUUUGCUUUUCCACUCUCUCCAUCCUCUCCCUGCCCCCAAAUAAUGUUUAAUUUCCUAAAAUAAUUGCCGUGGCACAGUCAUCUACUAUAUAUAGAUAUAAAUCACAAACAACUCUCUCACACACAUGCACCUGUAUAUUUCAUUAACUUCAUUCUAAAUAGCAAUCAUGUGCUACAGGGUAUCCUAAA